GCAUCCAUGGCUGAAUGGUUAAAGCGCCCAAAUUCGUAGGUUCGAUUCCUGCUGGAUGCG
rnacentral:tRNA from 4 species